UACGUAGGGACCAAGCGUUGUUCGGAUUUACUGGGCGUAAAGGGCGCGUAGGCGGCAAAUUAAGUCAGCUGUGAAAUCUCCGAGCUUAACUCGGAACUGUCAGCUGAUACUGAUGUGCUAGAGUGCGGAAGGGGCAAUCGGAAUUCUUGGUGUAGCGGUGAAAUGCGUAGAUAUCAAGAGGAACACCUGAGGUGAAGACGGGUUGCUGGGCCGACACUGGCGCUGAGUGCGCGAAAGCCAGGGGAGCAAACGGG
rnacentral:rRNA from 1 species